ensembl:lncRNA
GUCCGGUCUGGAAUGAUUGACAGGUCCAAUGGCACCCGUUGGCUUGUGUUAACCAGUUUUCUUCCUUCGGCUGAUUCUACCAGUAGACACUGAAAGGACUCUGAUAGUUCGAGUGAAGGUAGCAGUUGCUCCUGAAGGUCAGAGAUUGCAGCAUCUGAGGGCCUCUUCAAAAGAAGACGUAGUUGAUGAAGGCGUUCUGGAGCAGGACCAGAAAUACCACGACCAAGCAGCCUUGAGAUCUUAGGCAGCAUCUCCCUCGGACCAAAGAACUACAGACUCUUCACAACCUGCUCAAACUCUUGGUACAGGACCUCACCACACGGGUCAAGAAGGUUUCCUUCUCAUUUCUACUCUGAAGCUCACCUUCUCCUGCUCAAACUGCUGACAAAUGUUUCUGCUGC